rnacentral:rRNA from 1 species
GACGAACGCUGGCGGCGUGCCUAAUACAUGCAAGUUGAGCGCUGAAGGUUGGUACUUGUACCGACCGGAUGAGGAGCGAACGGGUGAGUAACGCGUGGGGACUCUGCCUUUGAGCGGGGGACAACAUUUGGAAACGAAUGCUAAUACCGCAUAAAAACUUUAAACACAAGUUUUAAGUUUGAAAGAUGCAAUUGCAUCACUCAAAGAUGAUUCCGCGUUGUAUUAGCUAGUUGGUGAGGUAAAGGCUCACCAAGGCGAUGAUACAUAGCCGACCUGAGAGGGUGAUCGGCCACACUGGGACGGAGACACGGCCCAAACUCCUACGGGAAGCAGCCGUAGUGAAUCGGCGGCAAGGGGCGAAAGUCUGUGCGAGCAAGGCCGAGGGAGGGAAGAGGGUUGUCGGAUCGGAAAACUCUGUUGGUAGGGAAGAACGUUGGUGAGAGUGGAAGGCUCAGCGAGUGACGGUAACUACUCAGAAAGGAACGGCUAACUACGUG